rnacentral:lncRNA from 1 species
GCUUCUAGCGGUGUCAAGCGGCUUCUGCUCCGGAGCCAACUGAAAGCCCUAGUUUGGUUUUGGAUAAUUGAUGAAACCCUAGUACUAACCUCUAUACUAAGUGUGUGUAGACUUAAUGAGGUUGGUACAUGCCAAGUGAUGGAGCAAGUGAUGAUCAUGGUGUCGAUGGUGAUGACCACAAGAUGAUCAAGUGCUCAACAUGGAAAAAAAGAAAGAGAAAAACAAAACCCUAUGG